rnacentral:sRNA from 1 species
CUUUUGUGUUUUUAGUAGAGAUGGAGUUUCACCAUGUUGGCCAGGCUGGUCUUGAACUCCUGACCUCAAGGGAUCCUCCUGCCUCAGCCUCCCAAAGUGGUGGGAUUACAGGCAUGGGCCACCGCACCCUGCCCAAUAUAUAUAUUUUUAAAUAGAGAUGGAGGUCUCACUAUGUUGCCCAGGCUAGUCUGGAACUCCUGGGCUCUCCUGUGCUGGCUUCCCAAAAUGCUGGGAUUACAGGUGUGAGCCACUGCACAUAGCCCCAAUAUUUUGUUAAAUAAGUGAAUAAAUAACACCUAAGUUUUGAAUCAUUGCUCACUGCUCUUUCGUGGUAGAGGAAAUUGAUGAGAAUUGUUUCAGUUCUUUGGCUUUUAUUGAUGAGUUCCAUAAAUUAGAUCUUGGUAAUUUGGGGCUGCAGUGGUUUUACAUCUCUGAAGGUUUGGGAGUACUUGUAUCACGACUAAAUUUCCAUACAAUGAGAAGAUUUUUGAAAAAUAGUGAGAUCUUGAGCCAGAUGAUUGUGCAUCCAUUUACAUCUUUAAUGUAGAUCCACCUCCAUCUACUUUAAACACACCACUUUGCUUACCACAUCAUGGAUUACCGUCUCACUCUUCUGUUUUGUCACCAUCGUUUCAGCUCCAAAGUCACAAAAACUAUGAAGGAACUUGUGAGAUUCCUGAAUCUAAAUAUAGCCCAUUAGGUGGUCCCAAACCCUUUGAGUGCCCAAGUAUUCAAAUUACAUCUAUCUCUCCUAACUGUCAUCAAGAAUUAGAUGCACAUGAAGAUGACCUACAGAUAAAUGACCCAGAACGGGAAUUUUUGGAAAGGCCUUCUAGAGAUCAUCUCUAUCUUCCUCUUGAGCCAUCCUACCGGGAGUCUUCUCUUAGUCCUAGUCCUGCCAGCAGCAUCUCUUCUAGGAGUUGGUUCUCUGAUGCAUCUUCUUGUGAAUCGCUUUCACAUAUUUAUGAUGAUGUGGACUCAGAGUUGAAUGAAGCUGCGGCCCGAUUUACCCUUGGAUCCCCUCUGACUUCUCCUGGUGGCUCUCCAGGGGGCUGCCCUGGAGAAGAAACUUGGCAUCAACAGUAUGGACUUGGACACUCAUUAUCACCCAGGCAAUCUCCUUGCCACUCUCCUAGAUCCAGUGUCACUGAUGAGAAUUGGCUGAGCCCCAGGCCAGCCUCAGGACCCUCAUCAAGGCCCACAUCCCCCUGUGGGAAACGGAGGCACUCCAGUGCUGAAGUUUGUUAUGCUGGGUCCCUUUCACCCCAUCACUCACCUGUUCCUUCUCCUGGUCACUCCCCCAGGGGAAGUGUGACAGAAGAUACGUGGCUCAAUGCUUCUGUCCAUGGUGGGUCAGGCCUUGGCCCUGCAGUUUUUCCAUUUCAGUACUGUGUAGAGACUGACAUCCCUCUCAAAACAAGGAAAACUUCUGAAGAUCAAGCUGCCAUACUACCAGGAAAAUUAGAGCUGUGUUCAGAUGACAAAGGGAGUUUAUCACCAGCCCGGGAGACUUCAAUAGAUGAUGGCCUUGGAUCUCAGUAUCCUUUAAAGAAAGAUUCAUGUGGUGAUCAGUUUCUUUCAGUUCCUUCACCCUUUACCUGGAGCAAACCAAAGCCUGGCCACACCCCUAUAUUUCGCACAUCUUCAUUACCUCCACUAGACUGGCCUUUACCAGCUCAUUUUGGACAAUGUGAACUGAAAAUAGAAGUGCAACCUAAAACUCAUCAUCGAGCCCAUUAUGAAACUGAAGGUAGCCGAGGGGCAGUAAAAGCAUCUACUGGGGGACAUCCUGUUGUGAAGCUCCUGGGCUAUAACGAAAAGCCAAUAAAUCUACAAAUGUUUAUUGGGACAGCAGAUGAUCGAUAUUUACGACCUCAUGCAUUUUACCAGGUGCAUCGAAUCACUGGGAAGACAGUCGCUACUGCAAGCCAAGAGAUAAUAAUUGCCAGUACAAAAGUUCUGGAAAUUCCACUUCUUCCUGAAAACAAUAUGUCAGCCAGUAUUGAUUGUGCAGGUAUUUUGAAACUCCGCAAUUCAGAUAUAGAACUUCGAAAAGGAGAAACUGAUAUUGGCAGAAAGAAUACUAGAGUACGACUUGUGUUUCGUGUACACAUCCCACAGCCCAGUGGAAAAGUCCUUUCUCUGCAGAUAGCCUCUAUACCCGUUGAGUGCUCCCAGCGGUCUGCUCAAGAACUUCCUCAUAUUGAGAAGUACAGUAUCAACAGUUGUUCUGUAAAUGGAGGUCAUGAAAUGAUUGUGACUGGAUCUAAUUUUCUUCCAGAAUCCAAAAUCAUUUUUCUUGAAAAAGGACAAGAUGGACGACCUCAGUGGGAAGUAGAAGGGAAGAUAAUCAGGGAAAAAUGUCAAGGGGCUCACAUUGUCCUUGAAGUUCCUCCAUAUCAUAACCCAGCAGUUACAGCUGCAGUGCAGGUGCACUUUUAUCUUUGCAAUGGCAAGAGGAAAAAAAGCCAGUCUCAACGUUUUACUUAUACACCAGUUUUGAUGAAGCAUGAACACAGAGAAGAGACUGAUUUGUCUUCAGUUCCAUCUUUGCCUGUGCCUCAUCCUGCUCAGACCCAGAGGCCUUCCUCUGAUUCAGGGUGUUCACAUGACAGUGUACUGUCAGGACAGAGAAGUUUGAUUUGUUCCAUCCCACAAACAUAUGCAUCCAUGGUGACCUCAUCCCAUCUGCCACAGUUGCAGUGUAGAGAUGAGAGUGUUAGUAAAGAACAGCAUAUGAUUCCUUCUCCAAUUGUACACCAGCCUUUUCAAGUCACACCAACACCUCCUGUGGGGUCUUCCUAUCAGCCUAUGCAAAGUAAUGUUGUGUACAAUGGACCAACUUGUCUUCCUAUUAAUGCUGCCUCUAGUCAAGAAUUUGAUUCAGUUUUGUUUCAGCAGGAUGCAACUCUUUCUGGUUUAGUGAAUCUUGGCUGUCAACCACUGUCAUCCAUACCAUUUCAUUCUUCAAAUUCAGGCUCAACAGGACAUCUCUUAGCCCAUACACCUCAUUCUGUGCAUACCCUGCCUCAUCUGCAAUCAAUGGGAUAUCAUUGUUCAAAUACAGGACAAAGAUCUCUUUCUUCUCCAGUGGCUGACCAGAUUACAGGUCAGCCUUCGUCUCAGUUACAACCUAUUACAUAUGGUCCUUCACAUUCAGGGUCUGCUACAACAGCUUCCCCAGCAGCUUCUCAUCCCUUGGCUAGUUCACCGCUUUCUGGGCCACCAUCUCCUCAGCUUCAGCCUAUGCCUUACCAAUCUCCUAGCUCAGGAACUGCCUCAUCACCGUCUCCAGCCACCAGAAUGCAUUCUGGACAGCACUCAACUCAAGCACAAAGUACGGGCCAGGGGGGUCUUUCUGCACCUUCAUCCUUAAUAUGUCACAGUUUGUGUGAUCCAGCUUCAUUUCCACCUGAUGGGGCAACUGUGAGCAUUAAACCUGAACCAGAAGAUCGAGAGCCUAACUUUGCAACCAUUGGUCUGCAGGACAUCACUUUAGAUGAUGACCAAUUUAUAUCUGACUUGGAACACCAGCCAUCAGGUUCAGCAGAGAAAUGGCCUAACCACAGUGUGCUCUCAUGUCCAGCUCCUUUCUGGAGAAUCUAGAGGUGAACGAGAUAAUUGGGAGAGACAUGUCCCAGAUUUCUGUUUCCCAAGGAGCAGGGGUGAGCAGGCAGGCUCCCCUCCCAAGUCCUGAGUCCCUGGAUUUAGGAAGAUCUGAUGGGCUCUAACAGUGCUUACUGCAGCCUUGUGUCCACCACCAACUUCUCAGCAUGUUUCUCUCCUUGGACCUUGGGUUUCCAACUGUGCAGCCUUCAGGUCUGGGGCCAGGAGUGGGACCCACCAUUUGUGGGGAAAGUAGCAUUCCUCCACCUCAGGCCUUGGGUAAAUUUGGCAAAAGAACAGGAACAGCAUAGGCUGUUUGAGUUUUGGGGAAAUGAGCUUUGCUUUUUAUAUUUAACUAGGAUACUUUUAUAUGAUGGGUGCUUUGAGUGUGAAUGCAGCAGGCUCUCUUGUUUCCGAGGUGCUGCUUUUGCAGGUGACCUGGUUACUUAGCUAGGAUUGGUGAUUUGUACUGCUUUAUGGUCAUUUGAAGGGCCCUUUAGUUUUUAUGAUAAUUUUUAAAAUAGGAACUUUUGAUAAGACCUUCUAGAAGCAAAAAAAAAGAAAAAAGAAAAAGAAAAAGAAAAAAAAAAG